UAAUUAUACGACAAUCAUCACACUGUAUCAUCAAGUAAUUCGUUAGUUGGAU
rnacentral:guide_RNA from 1 species